GCUUUGAGUUUUGUGCACAAAUCAAAUAGUUGGCCUGAUCCAACAGAUAUGUUUGUUAUUCAUAAAAUUUUGAAAGGUGUACAGAAUUUGAAAGGCAAGAAUGACCCUAGACUACCUAUAACUAAGGACAUCUUGAUCAAAUUAAUUGACUCUUUGCCGUGUGUAAUUGUUAAUGUAGACAACCAAUUAGCCCUUAAGGCUAUGUUUCUGCUUGCUUUUUUAUGCCUUUUUACGAGUAGGUGAGAUAUCGACCAAAAGCGGCUCCGAUACAAAGCAGGUGCUUCAGGUUGGCGACAUAUCAUUUGAUCGUGAAAAUAGUACUUUGAAAGGUAUGUCUUUAACCAUGACAUAUUAUAAACACAGUGAUCUGCAUCCAAAAACCAUUUAUAUCCCGAUUUGUGCAGAUAAUAUUACGUGUCCAGUCACUCAUGUACAUCACUAUCUGUCUCAAUUUGGCCAUUCAAGUGGACCUUUGUUCCAAUUUAAGUCUGGAGCUCCAGUUACUAGGUCUUAUUUCACCACCUCUUUAAAGUCGGCUCUCUCAUUCAUCGGUUUAGAUACUCGGUACUAUAAAGCACACAGUUUCAGGAUAGGGGCUGCGACUUCUGCUGCAGCUAGGGGAAUUCCCCACUCCGUGAUUCAAGGGAUGGGGAGAUGGAAAUCGAGUGCUUUUAUGAAAUAUAUAAGGAUGCAAAAUUUUUAAGUUAUUUAUUGCACAGUUUUGGGUCAGCAUUGCCUGCCAAAACAUUUGUCAUUAAAUUAUUUAAUAUCUGUUAUUAAUAACCAGUGUCUGUUUUAUUAAUCUUGUGAUUAAUCAUUGUCAUAAGAAAUGCUAAUUUCAAUUUUGAUUUUUACAGUUGUGUACAUUAUUAUAUGUUUUGUGAUUUGUUUUGAGAGCAUGUUAUGGAUGUCAGCAUUGCCUGGUCUGUAACUGCAAUCUGUAAUUUUUUUUUUUAAUUUUUUUUUUUUUAUCAAUAAAUAAUUGAUUUUUAUAACAUGAAUUUUAGACUGGAUUCACGUCGCCAGAGCCCUCGGGUGGGGGAUCCACUCUUAAUGUAAGAGUGUAUUUGUGGCAGAUUUUUCUCCCCACCUUUGCUAUUAUUUGUCAUUUAUUCAAUUGAUAUGAUUUUAGUUGAUGUAAUUUCGUAUUAAUUAUGUAUUAUAAUUGCAUAUUAAUUAUGAACUUUU
rnacentral:lncRNA from 1 species